AUUUAAAUAAUUUAAAAUAAAAUAUUGAUUUGUGGAGUCAAAAAUAUGAAUGUAAUUAUCAUUUUAAGUU
rnacentral:tRNA from 1 species